GACGUAGGGCGCGAGCGUUGUCCGGAUUUAUUGGGCGUAAAGAGCUCGUAGGCGGCUUGUUGCGUCAGCUGUGAAAACCCGCAGCUCAACUGUGGGCUUGCAGCUGAUACGGGCAGGCUUGAGUUCGGUAGGGGAGACUGGAAUUCCCAGUGUAGAGGUGAAAUUCGAUAGAUAUUGGGAAGAACACCGGUGGCGAAGGCGGCGCUCUGGACCGAGACUGACGCGUGAGGCGGCGAAAAGCGUGGGGGAGCAAACAGG
rnacentral:rRNA from 1 species